UUCCGGUUGAUCCCGCCGGACCUGACUGCUAUCGGAUUGAUACUAAGCCAUGCGAGUCUUUGUAGCAAUACAAGGCAGACGGCUCAGUAACACGUAGUCAAUCUACCCUAUGGACGGGGAUAACCUCGGGAGACUGAGAAUAAUACCCGAUGGAUCAUUAUGCCUGGAAUGGUUUAUGGUUCAAAUGAUUUUUCGCCAUAGGAUGGGACUGCGGUCUAUCAGCUUGUUGGUGAGGUAAUGGCCCACCAAGGCUAUAACAGAUACGGGCUCUGAGAGGAGAAGCCCGGAGAUGGGUACUGAGACACGGACCCAGGUCCUAUGGGGCGCAGCAGGCGAGAAAACUUUGCAAUGUGCGAAAGCACGACAAGGUUAACCCGAGUGUUUUCUGCUAAAGAAAUCUUUUGUCAGUCCUAAAAACACUGACGAAUAAGGGGUGGGCAAGUUCUGGUGUCAGCCGCCGCGGUAAAACCAGCACCUCAAGUGGUCAGGAGGAUUAUUGGGCCUAAAGCAUCCGUAGCCUGCUCUGUAAGUUUUCGGUUAAAUCUAUAUGCUCAACAUAUAGGCUGCCGGGAAUACUGCAGAGCUAGGGAGUGGGAGAGGUAGAUGGUACUCGGUAGGAAGGGGUAAAAUCCUUUGAUCUAUUGAUGACCACCUGUGGCGAAGGCGGUCUACUAGAACACGUUCGACGGUGAGGGAUGAAAGCUGGGGGAGCAAGCCGGAUUAGAUACCCGGGUAGGUCCCAGCUGUAAAACUAUGCAAACUCAGGUGAUGCACUGGCUUGUGGCCA
rnacentral:rRNA from 1 species